rnacentral:rRNA from 1 species
CCUACGGGAGGCAGCAGUGAGGAAUAUUGGUCAAUGGACGAGAGUCUGAACCAGCCAAGUAGCGUGAAGGAUGACUGCCCUAUGGGUUGUAAACUUCUUUUAUAAAGGAAUAAAACGAGGCACGUGUGCCGUUUUGCAUGUACUUUAUGAAUAAGGAUCGGCUAAUUCCGUGCCAGCAGCCGCGGUAAUACGGAGGAUCCGAGCGUUAUCCGGAUUUAUUGGGUUUAAAGGGAGCGUAGAUGGGUUGUUAAGUCAGUUGUGAAAGUUUGCGGCUCAACCGUAAAAUUGCAAUUGAUACUGGCAGUCUUGAGUACAGUUGAGGUAGGCGGAAUUCGUGGUGUAGCGGUGAAAUGCUUAGAUAUCACGAAGAACCCCGAUUGCGAAGGCAGCUUACUAAACUGUGACUGACAUUGAUGCUCGAAAGUGUGGGUAUCAAACAGGAUUAGAUACCCCUGUAGUC